GGAAUAUUGGACAAUGGGGGCAACCCUGAUCCAGCAAUGCCGCGUGUGUGAAGACGGCCUUCGGGUUGUAAAGCACUUUCAUUGAGGAGGAAAAGCUGUGCGUUAAUAGCGUACAGCCGUGUCGUUACUCAAAGAAGAAGCACCGGCUAACUCCGUGCCAUCAGCCGCGGUAAUACGGUGGGUGCAAGCGUUAACCGGAAUUACUGGGCGUAAAGCGCGCGUAGGCGGUUUAUUAAGUCAGAUGUGAAAUCCCCGGGCUCAACCUGGGAAUGGCAUUUGAGACUGGUAGGCUAGAGUGUGGUAGAGGUGAGUGGAAUUUCAGGUGUAGCUGUGAAAUGCGUAGAGAUCUGAAGGAACAUCAGUGGCGAAGGCGACUCACUGGGCCAUUACUGACGCUGAGGUGCGAAAGCGUGGGUAGCAAACA
rnacentral:rRNA from 1 species